rnacentral:RNase_P_RNA from 1 species
AGCAAGCUGAGCAGCCGCGGGUGCAGUCCCGAAAGGGCGCACGCGAGGAAAGUCUGGGCUCCACAGGGCAAGGAUAACGGCUAACGGCCGCCGGGGGCGACCCCAGGGAAAGUGCAACAGAGAGAUACCGCCGCAUGAUGAUGCGGUAAGGGUGGAAAGGCGGGGUAAGAGCCCACCAGCGUGCGGGAGACCGCACGGCUAUGUAAACCCUAUCCGGAGCAACACCGCGGAGGAACCGAUGCGCCGGCCCGGCGCGUUCCAUGGAGGUGGCACUGAGCAGAGGCGGCAACGCCCUGCCAAGAUAGAUGGCUGUUCACGACAGAACCCGGCUUAUAGGCUUGGUCGU